rnacentral:rRNA from 1 species
GAUGAACGCUGGCGGCGUGCCUAAUACAUGCAAGUCGAGCGAACAGACGAGGAGCUUGCUCCUCUGACGUUAGCGGCGGACGGGUGAGUAACACGUGGAUAACCUACCUAUAAGACUGGGAUAACUUCGGGAAGCCGGAGCUAAUACCGGAUAAUAUAUUGAACCGCAUGGUUCAAUAGUGAAAGACGGUUUUGCUGUCACUUAUAGAUUGAUCCGCGCCGCAUUAGCUAGUUGGUAAGGUAACGGCUUACCAAGGCAACGAUGCGUAGCCGACCUGAGAGGGUGAUCGGCCACACUGGAACUGAGACACGGUCCAGACUCCUACGGGAGGCAGCAGUAGGGAAUCUUACGCAAUGGGCGAAAGCCUGACGGAGCAACGCCGCGUGAGUGAUGAAGGUCUUCGGAUCGUAAAACUCUGUUAUUAGGGAAGAACAAAUGUGUAAGUAACUAUGCACGUCUUGACGGUACCUAAUCAGAAAGCCACGGCUAACUACGUG